rnacentral:rRNA from 1 species
UUCAGUCGAAUCUGCCCGGUGAAAUUUUAACGGCCGCAGUAUCUUAACUGUGCUAAGGUAGCGUAAUCAUUAGCUUUUUAAUUGAAAGCUCGUAUGAACGAUCCGACGAAAAAUUACCUGUCUUAAGCCCGCUAAAAACUUUUUACGAGAGUCAAAAACCUCUCACUCUUCAAUAGGACGACAAGACCCUGCAAAACUUUACCCGUUAUAGUUCGAACUCAGAGAUCUUUACCCCUUACUCGGGUUUUACUGGGGCGGUAAUAGUUUCUCCAAACAAUUAACACUCAAACAUAGUACAUGGCCUUUACGAACUUUUUAAACUAAGACCAAGUUACUUCAGGGAUAACAGCGCAAUGAACCCUUAGAGUCCUUAUCGACGGGUUAGCUUACGACCUCGAUGUUGAAUUGAAUUUCCUCCUUCAGAGCAAAAACUAAGAAAGGAAGUCUGUUCGACU